GGCUUCGUAGCUCAGCUGGUAGAGCGCUGCGCUCGUUGAGGGAUACAUGCGUGUUUCUGUCGCUGGUUCGAAUCCAGCCGAUGCCC